UGCAAAGGUUGAUUCCAGAUUUUUGAAAAUUUGAUCUCCUAUUCUACUGCUAUCCAGAUAAGAAUUUGAUCCUUAUUCAUGUAGAUUAAUAGAAAUUUUUUAAAUACAAUCUGGGCUAUCUGAAGAGAAAUAGUUUUCUUUCCUUUCAUGUCAGAGGUAUGUGGCAUUCACAUCCUCUUUCUUUCUUUUCUUCAUAUUAUCAAUAUGAAGUAUAUUAUCAUUAAGUGAUAGAAACAGA
rnacentral:lncRNA from 1 species